UAAGCGGAGGAAAAGAAACUAACAAGGAUUCCCCUAGUAACGGCGAGCGAACCGGGAAGAGCUCAAAUUUGAAAUCUGGCGUCCCACGGGCGUCCGAGUUGUAAUCUGCAGAGGCGUCUUCCGCCCCGGACCGCGUCCAAGUCCCUUGGAACAGGGUAUCAAAGAGGGUGACAAUCCCGUGCUUGACGCGACCCCCGGUGCUAUGUGAUGCGACCUCAAAGAGUCGAGUUGUUUGGGAAUGCAGCUCAAAACGGGUGGUAAAUUCCAUCUAAGGCUAAAUAUUGGCGAGAGACCGAUAGCGAACAAGUACCGUGAGGGAAAGAUGAAAAGCACUUUGGAAAGAGAGUUAAACAGUACGUGAAAUUGUUGGAAGGGAAACGAUUGAAGUCAGUCGUGUCCGAGGGGUUCAGCCGGUCCUGCCGGUGCACUCCCCUCGGACGGGUCAACAUCGGUUCUGUCCGGCGGACAAGGGCAGGGGGAACGUGGCACCCUCGUGGUGUGUUAUAGCCCCCCGUCGCAUACGUCGGUCGGGACCGAGGAUCGCAGCUCGCCCUCACGGGCCGGGGUUCGCCCACGUCCGACUUAGGAUGUUGACGUAAUGGCUUUAAACGACCCGUCUUGAAACACG
rnacentral:rRNA from 2 species